CAAAACGACGACUGACCGAACUCGUAUACUUAUAAUUUCUUUAGUUGGUUGGUUAAUUUGUAUCGUGCAUUAUUGUGUACGACGUGCGAGUCACGCGCAAAGCGUGCCUUCCGCUUAACAAUAUCAAAUCUUCGUACUUUAUUCAGUCUUCUCUUCUAUUUAUCCCCGUCUCGCUAGAACGUGCAAAUGAAAAACCGCGGCGAGAGUGAAGCCAAGUGUGUUUAAAUUCAAAGUUCGACGCGUGACGAUUGGCCAUCGAAUCUUGAAAAAAGAAGUAAAUAACGGAUAAACCGUUGAAGAGCAAGCAAUUUUUUUACACGAGACGCAAGGUAAACGCCGUUCGCAUUUUUGGCGAUCAUUUAACGCGCGCGCUUCCUUAUACGGUAAAGAUUCCGAAACUCGACGAAACGUACAUACGUCGAGUUCUCGACCUUCCCUUUCUCUCUCUCUUUCGUUCGUUUUGUUUCAUCUCUUGUUGUACACGAGCGCGCGAUCUAAUCGUUCCGACGAUUCGAACACCGUUUUCGAUACCGAAUCAACAAGUUUACAGAUCGAAGAAGAAUCUGGAACAAGAGAGAGAACGGGGUCAAAAGAUCGACGAUCGUAUUAACCGUGUGAAAAACAACCUGAAAUAAUCCACCUCGUCGUUAAACAUACGAAAGUCGAUUCGAGUCGGUGCGAUCGUGUGUUGUUUUGUUAAGAUUCGAACAGCGGUCCGUCGGAAUUGAACCGCGAGUUACGAGGUGCUGGAAAUUAUCGACAACUUGACAGUGUUGCGGUGACUCCGAAAAAGUCCGACUGAAUUACAAACCGUUCGACAGGACGAAAAAAUCUGUCCAAAGAUUGUGUGAGAAAGCAACUACAGUAACAGGAACGAACCGACGAUCGUCACUUAUUCAAGAAUUCGGAAAUCAAAUCCUUGACGAAAUUCCGUCGUUUCGACAACCGGAACGCGGAAUGCGGAAUUAAGUCGCUGACUCUGAUUUGGCGCUGGUGUAGUUCGGGUGGUUGGUUCUCGAUCCGCCGAAGAGAGGCUAAGAGUGGCGGUGUGACAAUUGAUUUAUUUAAGACACGGGGCGGAGAGACUAGUAUUGCCAACGAGGAUCGGGGGUUGUUGUUUUGACCACCUAUGUGCAGGAUAAUCUACGCACGAGAGGUCGCGAAGCGUCGUCGUCGUCGUCGUUGAGGCUCGGAAAUAGGCUGGGAAAAUCAUAUUCUGAAGAAACUGCCGGGUCCAGGUGGGAGAAAGAGGAAGAAGAAGAAGAACUGCUGAUGAGCAGGGAAGAAGACGUAUGUAGUAAAAUUAGGAAGGAAGGAAGGUCUAUAUUCAGCGUUUUAAUCACACUUUAACCACCCCCACUUCUUCUUCUUCGUCUUUAUUCCUCGCCAAUUUGUGUGGAUGUAAAUUAUAUUACACAGUUUCACCAGGAUCGAAAAUAUUCAAGAAAUUGAUCCGCCCUCGUUGUGAACGACAAUUUGUUU